GCUGCUCUUUCCAGGCAGGUGACUCCGCCCAUGGGAGACUGAGCUCCAGGACCCAGGUUCACAGUGAGGAAACUGGAUGGUGAACCCAAGCCCCCUUCAGUCACAUCCACUCAGGAGUUGAGCUGGGACUGGAAUUCCCUGCCCUGGAGCUUUUCGCUACCAGGUCUGCUGACCAGAAGUCAUAUUCCUGAAUAAGCCCAACAGGUGCAAUCCUAAGGGGAAUAAGGUGG